UACGUAGGGUGCGAGCGUUGUCCGGAAUUACUGGGCGUAAAGAGCUCGUAGGUGGUUUGUCGCGUUGUUCGUGAAAUCUCACGGCUUAACUGUGAGCGUGCGGGCGAUACGUGCAGACUAGAGUACUGCAGGGGAGACUGGAAUUCCUGGUGUAGCGGUGGAAUGCGCAGAUAUCAGGAGGAACACCGGUGGCGAAGGCGAGUCUCUGGGCAGUAACUGACGCUGAGGAGCGAAAGCGUGGGGAGCGAACAGG
rnacentral:rRNA from 1 species